AUAGUUAAGGUUACAUUACACUAAAUCAUUGUGUAUCCCUCCGUGGUCCAUUCGAAAGUAGUGCCUAUUUCUAAAGAGUUCCUUUUCUCUUCUUGAAUAUAAGCCAUUUAACAAUGUGAGACAUGUCUUUUGUGGUUAUUUGUAAUAUCCUGUAUGUGUCUGGAGUACUUUGAUGCCUUGGAUUGGAAGCUAACUUAAAAGAUGAACUUUUGAGGGUGUGUUUUCUAUUGUGUGGGGCUUUUGUCGAAAUUAGGAUUCCGAAACACGUUUUUCUACGGUGGGUUCAUUCGACAGCGAUUUACUUUCUUAGAAGUUGCGAGACGGUAUGUUUUUGAUUGCAAUUAUUGGAAGAUGACAGAUCCAUCUUUAAAAUGAUACCAGGUUCGGAAAAAUUGAUACGUCGGAAAGGCAAGAAAAAUGCUGUGAAAGUUGUCAGUUUUAUAAUGGGACCCUAUGGGAAUCGGAAUUAGUGUAAUAUAACCUUUAAAAAGCACAUUUACUGCAAUGUCAAGGUCACAUGGAUUCGUCUGCAAGCGAGACAAGUAGAAAAUGAAUUUUAAUGAAUGUUUUGAUGAUUUGGGUGCUAAAAUAGAUGAGAGGUGUCAAUAUUUUGGUCCAAAUGGAUGUUUUAGGUGGUUUUGGACUGUUCCGGAUGGGUGGGGGACCUGGUAUGGACAAGUAAGGGUAACAUUUCCAACAAAUCUUAAAUGUAAAUAUUAUUAUGUCCAUAGAUUGAAGUUUCAGGUGGAGAGCAAGAUGAAAAAUAUGCAAAAUUACAUGCAUGCAACCCAUUUAUGCCAUUUUUCUCUUUGUUUGUAGGCCUGACCGUUUGUCCUUGAGCCGUAGAUGGUCAACAAUCCGCUAGCUGUCUUGCUCUGACUGGUGCACUGGACAUGAUUUCAAUAGUCAGCCAGACCAUGAUUGAGCUUAAGGGUUGUGCUGCGGAUGCAGCCUGUGCAGUUCCGGGAGAAAGUCACUGUCUCGGGCAAUGCGGUCUGGUAUCAGGUCUGGAUGAUCCUUGCCUGACUGCGGGUUUGUGUACACCUCAAUCCGACUCUGUGUCCUGAACAGAGGCCGCAGUGGUGCAGCGCUUGUGGACGAUCCAUCAACAUCCUGAAAGGUCAACACUACACCAAGCUGGGAAAAUUGAUCCUGAUAGUCAUCCCCAGGUAGUGGAAUGAAUGUUCACUGAACUACAGAGGAAUCACACCCAAAUGACUUUCCUGCCACGACAUUAGUGUGGCCACUCGCGUAGGAAUUCCUUAGCAAACAUGCUCUUUUGCAUGGUGACUGUGGACAUUUUUGCAAAACUUACGCUUUCAACACUGGAUUUCAAAGAGAAUACUUAAUAAAAUGUCGCUAACAGGACUUAUUUAUAUGAGAGAGACUAUCUGGAUGCGCAUUAAGUGUCACUUUGUGUCGUAAGCUGUUGAAGGAGCGAUUUGCGCCUUUUUAAGUGUUAAUUUUGGGUAGCCGGCUUGUAUCGGCUUGAAAGCUGAAAAUUAUGCCUCUCAUCAUAAUAGCAUUAAUUUUUGUAAUUGCAAUGUGUAUGUUUAGAUUGUAAGUGAAGCUUUUAAUAAUAAUUUUCUUAAAAAACAUGAUUUUAUAUGCUGUCAGUGAGUUUUUUAUUGAGAAAAGUGCUUAAAAUUUAAAAAAAGUCUCCUAUUUCAUCAAGAAAAGUACACUGAUUCACAAUCAAUACAUUUAUUUGGGCCUUUUGCUGAUAUAUUGGAGAAUUUCGCAUGCAAUGAUACCAGUUUUUGCCAUGAAAGUUACGCGUAACAAUAAUUGGAGACGCAAAAUCAGCUGUCGUCACUUAGACUAAAAAUCAUGCAUUCCGACUUGACUGCGGCCAAUUUAGUCACCGCUUUAAAUGGCCAUUUUAAGGCCUUUACCCCCAUCCGAAUGCACUGAAAUUGCAUAUUCAUUGUGGAAAUAGUUGAAAUCUCAUGUGGAGAAAGUUUGAAAAAGAUAGGACAAAGUUGAGUUCCCUUAAAGGUUACAUUACACUAAAUCAUUGUGUAUCCCUCCGUGGUCCAUUCGAAAGUAGUGCCUAUUUCUAAACAGUUCCUUUUCUCUUCUUGAAUAUAAGCCAUUUAACAAUGUGAGACAUGUCUUUUGUGGUUAUUUGUAAUAUCCUGUAUGUGUCUGGAGUACUUUGAUGCCUUGGAUUGGAAGCUAACUUAAAAGAUGAACUUUUGAGGGUGUGUUUUCUAUUGUGUGGGGCUUUUGUCGAAAUUAGGAUUCCGAAACACGUUUUUCUACGGUGGGUUCAUUCGACAGCGAUUUACUUUCUUAGAAGUUGCGAGACGGUAUGUUUUUGAUUGCAAUUAUUGGAAGAUGACAGAUCCAUCUUUAAAAUGAUACCAGGUUCGGAAAAAUUGAUACGUCGGAAAGGCAAGAAAAAUGCUGUGAAAGUUGUCAGUUUUAUAAUGGGACCCUAUGGGAAUCGGAAUUAGUGUAAUAUAACCUUAAGGGGCACGAAUGUGCGAGAACAUAGCAUACUUGACAUUUGUAUCACUCCCGGAAACAGGUGAUAUUGUGAAAAUGUAAACAUUAUGAACAUUCAUAACACAUCGACAGAAAAUACCUGCAUAGCCUACGGAGGAAGCCAGCUGAAUCCACCAGAAAUCACCAUUGUUUAUCCUUUAUUUAGCAAAUAUUGCUAUUUGUUAGUCUGUCACUGUCUUUUGUCAAACACUAAACUCAGCGUUCGUUUGAUUGUCAAUUUCAUGUCGCGUAGGUUAUACUGCACACUUAAACUUUAAAUAGUUGCAGAAGUUAAUUUUGUGAAUGUAAUUAUAUUCAUUCCCUAUAUGAUCUAUAACUUUAAAUGUUUACUUUUUAAUCAGUAAAAUAUAUUGUUAGUCAGCGUCUUUGAAGGUGACCGCCAUGUAAAGUUCAGGCGCGAACUAUUUUUCGUCUGUAAGCUAGGUCUCGGCGUCUGAUCAGUAUUAACAUUAUUGUUUUUAUAAUUUAACAGUAAUCCUUUUAGAGUAUUUGGAUGUUUCGCCGAGAUACAGCCUAGUCAUUUGUUGCAUUAUAUAAAUGUUAAUAUUUAUAUGAACAGAUGUUAUUUCUCAUGGGGCGGAGUUUCUACCGUCUCACCUAUUCAUACGCCUUACCAUUUGUUAAGUUCGGCGAUUGUUUGUUUCACAUAUCUAUGUUCAGCUGAUUAUUUGUAAAUACUGCUUUUCGUUAAAGCUGUUCAUUUGACCAAAGAGCUGUAUAUGAUGUAUUGAAUUUAGAUUGUUAUAUUAUUUAAGGAAUGGACCUGA